rnacentral:rRNA from 1 species
UACGUAGGGGGCUAGCGUUGUCCGGAAUCAUUGGGCGUAAAGCGCGUGUAGGCGGUUCGGUAAGUCCGCUGUGAAAGUCGGGGGCUCAACCCUCGAAUGCCGGUGGAUACUGUCGGGCUAGAGUGCGGAAGAGGCGAGUGGAAUUCCUGGUGUAGCGGUGAAAUGCGUAGAUAUCGGAAGGAACACCAGUGGCGAAAGCGGCUUCCUGGUCCAGCACCGACGUCAGGCACGAAAGCGUGGGGAGCAAACAGG